UACAGAGGUCUCAAGCGUUGUUCGGAUUCAUUGGGCGUAAAGGGUGCGUAGGUCGUCGGGUAAGUCAAAUGUGAAAUCCCGGAGCUCAACUCUGGAACUGCAUUCGAUACUGCCCGGCUCGAGGGUUGGAGAGGAGACUGGAGUUCACGGUGUAGCACUGAAAUGCAAAGAUAUCGUGAGGAUCACCCGUGGCGAAGGCGGUUCUCUGGACAACUCCUGACACUGAGCCACGAAGGCCGGGGAAGCACACGGU
rnacentral:rRNA from 1 species